AUGACUGUCUUUGCAUUGCAAGGGCAUUUACUUGUUCUGUUCAGCUACAGGACAACGCAUGGAAUCAACCAGUUAAAAUGAAAGUGCAGCCUUUCGAAGACAUCCUCACUUCCUUCAGAUAUGUGGGAUUCACAGAAUGACCACUCACAAACUCCCGUCCCUUCGAAGGACAGCAUCCUCCCAGAUACCCAAAACUGGCCAUGUUGCAGCCACUCAGAGAUAACAGGCUUAGGGUAAAAGACAGUGCUCUCCUGACAUCACUCUUCUGUGUCAAACAGAGUAAUGCAGUGAACAUGAUGAUAGCAAGCUACAGGAAGAGCCACCAGUCAGAAUGAAAAGAAUGGCAUCCAGUGGACCAAAAUUCACACGCUGUGUGAUCCUAAGUGUAACUAGGAAGCAACGAGUACCACCCACUUGAUAUAAUUUUUACAUAUUACUCUUCUCUUGCAGAUUUCGGCCCCUCCUUUCUUAAGCUACCAUUAGAUUGUGGGUCUAAUGCAGACCUGGGAGUCUCCAACCCUUUAGGGGGUCGUAUAUCAGAUAACCUGCAUGUCAAAUAUUUUCACUAUAAUUCUUAAGAGUAGCAAAAUCAAUAGGUUGGGUUGCCACAACAUGAGGAGCAAGUGGGUCACAGCAUCAGAAAGGUUGAGGGCCACUGGCACAGAGGGUCUCUUAUUUGAGGCAGGCCCUCCAUCAAUCCAAAACAGACUGCUGGGCUCAUCAACAGAAAUGUCACAGUUCUGGCGGCUGAGGAAUUCGUGAUCAAGAUUACGGAAGAAUCAGUAUACAGUGAAGCCCCACUUCCUGUCAGAAGCUAUGCUUUCCUCCUGUGUCCUCAUACAGUGGGAAGGCAAGCCACCUCCCAGCGAAUGCUGCCACAAUGCCGCCGACUAAAUCAACAAGUCUUUGACUCAUAACUCCAGUGUCUUUUGCCAUCAUGUUACCAGUGCUAUUUUAAUACAGGAAACUCUGAGGAACAUAAACACUCAGACCAGAGUACGCUGGGUGUUCCUUUAUGACCUAUAUAGAUUUUAAAAUCACUUUGCGUUUCUGAUUUCUAAGUUUCAUAUGUACCUUCUACCUAGCCUGUAAAUGCAAUCUAAGGUACUAGCAAAAUCACAUAUAUGAAAUGCUUUGAACAGUCUAAACAUGCAUAAAAGUUACUUCUUCAACUUAAGUAUGCAUGAAGUGAUUAAAACACACACACUCAUGCAGCCCCGCUAUCCCAGCAUUUAUUUAGUCUUCAAACUCUUACAGAGUUUCUUUUUUUCUUUUUUCUUUUUUUGUUUGUUUGUUUGGGGUUUGUUUGUUUGUUUGUUUUAUUUUGUUUUGUUUUCCGAGACAGGGUUUCUCUUUGUAGCUCUGGUUGUCCUGGAACUCACUCUGUAGACCAGGCUGGCCUCAAACUCAGAAAUCUGCCUGCCUCUGCCUCCCAAGUGCUAGGAUUAAAGGCGUGUGCCACCAUGCCUGGGUCUUGCAGAGUUUCUGAUGCCCCAAUUUUUGUUCAAUUAUCAAGUUUACGUGUCAGAAGAAUGCGAUGACCAGAAAAACAGAUCUCUCAGUGCCAAGCUUCAUUUACAAGCAGAGGCCCGAUUCUUUUCUUUCCAUGGCUAAAAUGGCAUAUGUCAAAUGCGUUACUUGAGGAUAAACGUACAUAAAAUCCACAGUUAAUUUCCUCCUUUCUUCUUGACUAUUUAAGUAAAAAUUAAUUUCUGUGAAAUUAUUUAAUGUUUGAUAAAGGAAAAUGUUAUUCAUGCAUAGGUCUACAUUCUAUAAUAACUUAAUCAUAUAUGUG